GGGAAGUUUUACCGUCAAUGGGCGGAAAGCCUGACGGAGCAAUGCCGCGUGGAGGUGGAAGGCCUACGGGUCGUCAACUUCUUUUCUCGGAGAAGAAACAAUGACGGUAUCUGAGGAAUAAGCAUCGGCUAACUCUGUGCCAG
rnacentral:rRNA from 1 species